rnacentral:rRNA from 1 species
UUGGAGGGCAAGUCUGGUGCCAGCAGCCGCGGUAAUUCCAGCUCCAAUAGCGUAUAUUAAAGUUGUUGCAGUUAAAAAGCUCGUAGUUGAAUUUCGGGACCAAUAUUUCGGUCAUGCCGUUGGUAUGCACUGUUAUCAUUGAUUUCUCACCUUCUAAAGAACCGUAAUGCCAUUAAUUAGGUGUUACGGGGAAUUAGGACUGUUACCUUGAAAAAAUUAGAGUGUUUAAAGCAGGCUCACGCUUGAAUACAUUAGCAUGGAAUAAUGAAAUAGGACAUCCGAUUCUAUUUUGUUGGUUUCUAGGAUCGAUGUAAUGAUUAAUAGGGAUAGUUGGGGGCAUUAGUAUUCAAUUGUCAGAGGUGAAAUUCUUGGAUUUAUUGAAGACUAACUACUGCGAAAGCAUUUGCCAAGGAUGUUUUCAUUAAUCAAGAACGAAAGUUAGGGGAUCGAAGACGAUCAGAUACCGUCGUAGUCUUAACCAUAAACUAUGCCGACUAGGGAUCGGAUGAUGUUAAUUUUUUAAUGACUCAUUCGGCGCCUUACGGGAAAC